CUCACCAUGGGAUGGAGCUGGAUCUUCAUCUUCUCUAUGUCACUAACCACAGGUGUCUACUCUCAGGUUGAGCUGCAGCAGUCUGGUCCUCAGCUCGUGAAGCCUGGAUUCUCAGUGAAGCUGUCCUGUGAAGCUUCUGGCAUCACCUUAACUGACUACUAUGUUAGCUGGGUGAAGCAGAGGCCUGGACAGGGACUGGAGUGGGUUGGAGAUAUUGAUCCUGAAAAUGGUGAUACUGACUACAAUCAGAAGUUCCAGGGCAAGGCCACAAUAACUGCAGACACAUCCUCCAGCACAGCCUACAUGGAGCUCCGCAGCCUGACAUCUGAGGACUCUGCUGUCUAUUACUGUGCUAGGUCACUUUUAUCAACUGGAGGCAUGUCAUGCUAUUGGAGGCAGGUUCUGAUAUUAUACCUUAGUCUCGGCUGCCAUAGUUAUUGCAUUUCCACUCCAAGUACCCAGCUCUACAGUACCAAGUCUCUACAAAGCAUGGACAUACAUUGCUAUGGUAUCAACUCUUCAGUCAUUGGAUACCAGCUCCUCGUCCUCAUGCUAUGGAGUAUUUGGUUUUCAACUAGUGUGUGA